CGAAUUCGCCCUUAGAGUUUGAUCCUGGCUCAGGACGAACGCUGGCGGCGUGCCUAAUACAUGCAAGUAGAACGCUGAAGGAGGAGCUUGCUUCUCUGGAUGAGUUGCGAACAGGUGAGUAACGCGUAGGUAACCUGCCUGGUAGCGGGGGAUAACUAUUGGAAACGAUAGCUAAUACCGCAUAACAGUAGAUGUUGCAUGACAUUUGCUUAAAAGGUGCAAUUGCAUCACUACCAGAUGGACCUGCGUUGUAUUAGCUAGUUGGUGGGGUAACGGCUCACCAAGGCGACGAUACAUAGCCGACCUGAG
rnacentral:rRNA from 1 species